rnacentral:rRNA from 1 species
AUUGAACGCUGGCGGAAUGCUUUACACAUGCAAGUCGAACGGCAGCAUAGGUGCUUGCACCUGAUGGCGAGUGGCGAACGGGUGAGUAAUACAUCGGAACGUGCCCAGUCGUGGGGGAUAACGUAGCGAAAGUUACGCUAAUACCGCAUACGAUCUACGGAUGAAAGCGGGGGACCGUAAGGCCUCGCGCGAUUGGAGCGGCCGAUGUUAGAUUAGGUAGUUGGUGGGGUAAAGGCUCACCAAGCCGACGAUCUAUAGCUGGUCUGAGAGGAUGAUCAGCCACACUGGGACUGAGACACGGCCCAGACUCCUACGGGAGGCAGCAGUGGGGAAUUUUGGACAAUGGGCGCAAGCCUGAUCCAGCCAUUCCGCGUGCAGGACGAAGGCCUUCGGGUUGUAAACUGCUUUUGUACAGAACGAAAAGCUCUGGGUUAAUACCUCGGGGUCAUGACGGUACUGUAAGAAUAAGCACCGGCUAACUACGUGACG